UACGAAGGGGGCUAGCGUUGCUCGGAAUCACUGGGCGUAAAGGGCGCGUAGGCGGCGUUUUAAGUCGGGGGUGAAAGCCUGUGGCUCAACCACAGAAUGGCCUUCGAUACUGGGACGCUUGAGUAUGGUAGAGGUUGGUGGAACUGCGAGUGUAGAGGUGAAAUUCGUAGAUAUUCGCAAGAACACCGGUGGCGAAGGCGGCCAACUGGACCAUUACUGACGCUGAGGCGCGAAAGCGUGGGGAAGCAAACAGG
rnacentral:rRNA from 1 species